GCGGGUGUAGCUCAGUUGGUAGAGCAUCACGUUGCCAACGUGAUUGUCGUCGGUUCAAGUCCGAUCACCCGCUCCA
rnacentral:tRNA from 1 species